rnacentral:rRNA from 1 species
UCAGGCCUAACACAUGCAAGUCGAACGAACCCUUCGGGGUUAGUGGCGCACGGGUGCGUAACGCGUGGGGAUCUGCCCUUUGCUUCGGAAUAACAGUUAGAAAUGACUGCUAAUACCGGAUGAUGUCGCAAGACCAAAGAUUUAUCGGCAAAGGAUGAACCCGCGUAGGAUUAGCUAGUUGGUGGGGUAAAGGCCUACCAAGGCGACGAUCCUUAGCUGGUCUGAGAGGAUGAUCAGCCACACUGGGACUGAGACACGGCCCAGACUCCUACGGGAGGCAACAGUGGGGAAUAUUGGACAAUGGGCGCAAGCCUGAUCCAGCAAUGCCGCGUGAGUAAAGGAGGCCUUCGGGUUGUAAAGCUCUUUUACCAGGGAUGAUA